rnacentral:rRNA from 1 species
UACGAAGGGUGCAAGCGUUACUCGGAAUUACUGGGCGUAAAGCGUGCGUAGGUGGUUUGUUAAGUCUGAUGUGAAAGCCCUGGGCUCAACCUGGGAACGGCAUUGGAAACUGGCUUACUAGAGUGCGGUAGAGGGGUGUGGAAUUCCCGGUGUAGCAGUGAAAUGCGUAGAUAUCGGGAGGAACAUCUGUGGCGAAGGCGACUUCCUGGACCAAUACUGACGCUCAGGUGCGAAAGCGUGGGGAGCAAACAGG